rnacentral:rRNA from 1 species
GAUGAACGCUGGCGGCGUGCCUAAUACAUGCAAGUCGAGCGAACGGACGAGAAGCUUGCUUUUCUGAUGUUAGCGGCGGACGGGCGAGUAACACGUGGAUAACCUACCUAUAAGACUGGGAUAACUUCGGGAAACCGGAGCUAAUACCGGAUAAUAUUUUGAACCGCAUGGUUCAAAAGUGAAAGACGGUCUUGCUGUCACUUAUAGAUGGAUCCGCGCUGCAUUAGCUAGUUGGUAAGGUAACGGCUUACCAAGGCAACGAUGCAUAGCCGACCUGAGAGGGUGAUCCGCCACACUGGAACUGAGACACGGUCCAGACUCCUACGGGAGGCAGCAGUUGGGAAUCUUCCACAAUGGGCGGAAGCCUGAACGAGCCAUGCCGCGUUGGUGAAGAAGGUCUUCGGGUUGUAAAACCCUUUUAUUAGGGAAGAAAAGAAGUAUAAGAAAACCUUGACGUUCUGACGGUACCCAAUCAGAAAGCCACGGCUAACUACGUG